UUCUCUUCUCUUCUUUCGUUGAAACCCAGCCACCUGACGUCGUUGAAGCCUAGCCACCCAAAGCCCUCCGUCAUAGCCCAGCCACUGAAAGCACUCUAUCUCUCUCUCAAAUUUAUAUAUCUAUAUAUAUUUAUGUAUUUAAUGUUUUCUACGAUUUUUUUUACAGGUAAAAUAGAGAUCUUACUUUGGUCUCUCAUUCCCCUCUCUUCUCCUUCUCUGAUGAUGAAAAUAACUCCUUCCCCCUUUCCUUCUGAUUCUUCGGUGUAGCCGUGUAGGAGAUCCGCCAUACGCCUUCGCCGCUGCCUCUACUCAAUGAAAUCUCGUUGAAGCAUUUGUUCUUAUUAUUUUUCUUGGUUUUUUGCUUUUAGAUGUCGACACUACAGAAGGAAAUGUCAGAUUUGAGAUCCAUGCUUUAAGGACUAUCCAUGAAGUCACUAUCAUAACGAGGCCAGGGGCCACAGUCAGUACUUGAGGAAAAAGUUGAGGCUUCCCCCUAGUGACCUCGGGCACGCCAAGUGUGACGUGCUACGUCAUGACACACCUCCAGGGGGCCAUUUUGUAUAUAUGAGCAUGUCUUGGUGCUUGAUCAUUAGUCAAGUCUUGCACCAAGUAACCUCAUGGGUAGGGGAUGACACUUUUGUAAUUAUGCAUAUGUCUCCCAGACAAAAAUCAUAUAUUGUUCUUGGAAAGACUUCAUUUCCUUAGAAAGCUCCUUAGGGGGAGGUGACCUGGUGACUUAAGGAAGCACCAUGGCCACCAGCAGAUAGGGGCUUAAGUUGUGUACUCCUUUGACCUAUCAAGAUCUUAUAUGAAUAAAACGA